rnacentral:rRNA from 1 species
AGGGUUUGAUCAUGGCUCAGGAUGAACGCUGGCGGCGUGCUUAACACAUGCAAGUCGAACGAACCUUCGGGUUAGUGGCGGACGGGUGAGUAACGCGUGAGAAUCUGCCCUCAGGAGGGGGAUAACGGUUGGAAACGACCGCUAAUACCCCAUAUGCCUAUUGGUGAAAUGAAUUUCGCCUGAGGAUGAGCUCGCGUCUGAUUAGCUUGUUGGUGAGGUAAUGGCUCACCAAGGCUUCGAUCAGUAGCUGGUCUGAGAGGAUGAUCAGCCACACUGGGACUGAGACACGGCCCAGACUCCUACGGGAGGCAGCAGUGGGGAAUUUUCCGCAAUGGGCGAAAGCCUGACGGAGCAACGCCGCGUGAGGGACGAAGGCCUCUGGGCUGUAAACCUCUUUUCUCAAGGAAGAAGAUAUGACGGUACUUGAGGAAUAAGCCACGGCUAAUUCCGUGCCAGCCGCCGCGGUAAUAC